rfam:Beta vulgaris subsp. vulgaris Bvchr6.sca016.con0004.1, whole genome shotgun sequence.
CAUAACAAUCAUACCAGCACUAAUGCACCAAAUCCCAUUAGAACUCACAGUUAAGCCUACUUUGGCUAGAGUAGUACUAGAAUAGGUGAACUCCCAAAGAUUAAAAUUC